UAGGGAAUGUUGCACCAUGGGCGAAAGCCUGAUGCAGCAACGCCGCGUGAGUGAUGAAGGCCCUCGGGUCGUAAAACUCUUUUCAAGAGGAAGAGGAAGGACGGUACUCUUGGAAUAAGCCUCGGCUAACUACGUGCCAGCAGCCGCGGUAACACGUAGGAGGCGAGCGUUAUUCGGAUUUACUGGGCGUAAAGCGCGUGUAGGCGGCUUAUUAAGUUGGAUGUGAAAGCUCCUGGCUUAACUGGGAGAGGACGUUCAAAACUAGUAAGCUUGAGUACGAGAGAGGAAAAUGGAAUUCCGGGUGUAGUGGUGAAAUGCGUAGAUAUCCGGAGGAACACCAGUGGCGAAGGCGAUUUUCUGGCUCGAAACUGACGCUCAGACGCGAAAGCUAGGGUAGUAAACGG
rnacentral:rRNA from 1 species